rnacentral:lncRNA from 1 species
UGAUUUUCUUUAAAAAGGGAGUUUUUAGGGUUGCAGUGAAGGCGUGUUUGAUCUCAGGGACCGAACUCGUUACUUUUUGUAUUUUUAGUUGAUAUCUUCUAUCAAAGCGUAUUUUUUUGAUCGAAUCCCUGAGUCGUGGGGUUGUCGGCCCGGAAGAGUUGUCUUCUUACUGUCUCAAGAUCGAUAUCAUUGGUGGCGAGUGGCGGG